rnacentral:rRNA from 1 species
GACGAACGCUGGCGGCGUGCUUAACACAUGCAAGUCGAACGGUUAACCUCUUCGUAGGCGUUCAUUGGCGAACGGAUGAGUGACACGUGGCCAACCUUCCCCCUGCUCUGGGAUAACUCCAUCCCAUUGGGGCUACUACUGCCUCUUCCCCGCUUCCCGCGUGGGUGGUGGUUCUACGGGUUUCCGGCUAUGGGUUGGCCCUCGGCCUAUCAGCUUGUUGGUGGGGUAGUGGCCUACCAAGGCCGCGACGGGUAGCCGGCCUGGGAGGGUGACCGGCCACAAUGGGCCUGAGACACGGCGCAGACUGCUACGGGAGGCAGCAGGGGGGAGUAUGGCGCAAUGGGGGGGAGCCUGAGGAAGAGACGCCGCGAGGGGGAUGACGGCCUUCGGGUGGUAAACCUCUGUAAGCAGGGACGAAGCGCAAGUGACGGUACCUGCAGAAGAAGCACCGGCCAACUACGUG